rnacentral:misc_RNA from 1 species
GAUGAAGAACGCAGCGAAAUGCGAUAAGUAAUGUGAAUUGCAGUAUUCAGUGAAUCAUCGAAUCUUUGAACGCACAUUGCGCCCGCCAGUAUUCUGGCGGGCAUGCCUGUUCGAGCGUCAUUUCAACCAUCAAGCCCCAGGCUUGUGUUGGGGACCUGCGGCUGCCGCAGGCCCUGAAAACCAGUGGCGGGCUCGCUGUCACACCGGGCGUAGUAGAUUUUAUCUCGCUCAGGGCGUGCUGCGGGUUCCGGCCGUUAAAAAGCCUUUUUUACCCAAGGUUGACCUCGGAUCAGGUAGGAAUACCCGCUGAACUUAAGCAUAUCAAUAAGCGGAGGA